GUAUAAUUGUGCAAUAAUCGGCAACUCAGUGAAGAAGGUUUAGUCAGCCUUGCUGAGAACGGUUUGAAUGCAGAGUUUUGAUUAUAUGGGAUACUGUAUAAUUAAGGCUUCUUAUUGAGAGUGAUUGAUAUAAGAUAGAAGCAGAUGCUUCAAGUGCAAGAAUCGGUUGCCGGUCUAUAUGAGUAAAAUGUCAGUUCAAAGAGUCGGAGCGACAAUUGAUGAGGUUCACAGCAAUGGGGACCAAUGCGGCUUUUAAGUGCUAUAUGGGGACAUAUAGAUUACUGAAAGUAAUUCCAAAACAAGCUCUUGCCAAUGAUGCUAAGAAAUUAGCGUAUAAGACAAAACAGAACUGGACGAGUACCACAAGGCGAUUUUACAAAUCAAGAAUAAUUGGUAAUUCUAAUGCUGAAUGACGUGGGAAAGUUGGGAGUAUCAAUCUCCUCAGAGCAUUGGGCGAAAGCCGGGGUGCACAGGUUAGGACGACGGUCCGAAGCUUCAGGUGUGUCUCCUUUGUGACAGAAUAUUACGUAGUAUAGAGUUGGGUAGGGCGAAGGUCCGCCGAUUAUUGUUUUUUUUC
ncrna:unclassified sequences ROOL RNA